UUGGCCAUGUCAAAGUGCUUACAGUGCAGGUAGCUUUUUGAGUUCUACUGCAGUGCAAGCACUUCUUACAUUACCAU
rfam:Cricetulus griseus cell line CHO-K1, whole genome shotgun sequence.